rnacentral:rRNA from 1 species
GACGAACGCUGGCGGCGUGCUUAACACAUGCAAGUCGAACGGAAAGGCCCUGCUUUUGCGGGGUGCUCGAGUGGCGAACGGGUGAGUAACACGUGAGUAACCUGCCCUUGACUUUGGGAUAACUUCAGGAAACUGGGGCUAAUACCGGAUAGGAGCUCCUGCUGCAUGGUGGGGGUUGGAAAGUUUCGGCGGUUGGGGAUGGACUCGCGGCUUAUCAGCUUGUUGGUGGGGUAGUGGCUUACCAAGGCUUUGACGGGUAGCCGGCCUGAGAGGGUGACCGGCCACAUUGGGACUGAGAUACGGCCCAGACUCCUACGGGAGGCAGCAGUGGGGAAUAUUGCACAAUGGGCGGAAGCCUGAUGCAGCAACGCCGCGUGCGGGAUGACGGCCUUCGGGUUGUAAACCGCUUUCGCCUGUGACGAAGCGUGAGUGACGGUAAUGGGUAAAGAAGCACCGGCUAACUACGUGCCAGCAGCCGCGGUGAUACGUAGGGUGCGAGCGUUGUCCGGAUUUAUUGGGCGUAAAGGGCUCGUAGGUGGUUGAUCGCGUCGGAAGUGUAAUCUCGGGGCUUAACCCUGAGCGUGCUUUCGAUACGGGUUGACUUGAGGAAGGUAGGGGAGAAUGGAAUUCCUGGUGGAGCGGUGGAAUGCGCAGAUAUCAGGAGGAACACCAGUGGCGAAGGCGGUUCUCUGGGCCUUUCCUGACGCUGAGGAGCGAAAGCGUGGGGAGCGAACAGGCUUAGAUACCCUGGUAGUCCACGCUGUAAACGGUGGGUACUAGGUGUGGGGUCCAUUCCACGGGUUCCGUGCCGUAGCUAACGCUUUAAGUACCCCGCCUGGGGAGUACGGCCGCAAGGCUAAAACUCAAAGGAAUUGACGGGGCCCCGCACAAGCGGCGGAGCAUGCGGAUUAAUUCGAUGCAACGCGUAGAACCUUACCUGGGUUUGACAUGGAUCGGGAGUGCUCAGAGAUGGGUGUGCCUCUUUUGGGGUCGGUUCACAGGUGGUGCAUGGCUGUCGUCAGCUCGUGUCGUGAGAUGUUGGGUUAAGUCCCGCAACGAGCGCAACCCUUGUUCACUGUUGCCAGCACGUUAUGGUGGGGACUCAGUGGAGACCGCCGGGGUCAACUCGGAGGAAGGUGGGGAUGACGUCAAGUCAUCAUGCCCCUUAUGUCCAGGGCUUCACGCAUGCUACAAUGGCUGGUACAGAGAGUGGCGAGCCUGUGAGGGUGAGCGAAUCUCGGAAAGCCGGUCUCAGUUCGGAUUGGGGUCUGCAACUCGACCUCAUGAAGUCGGAGUCGCUAGUAAUCGCAGAUCAGCAACGCUGCGGUGAAUACGUUCCCGGGGCU